GAUGAACGCUGGCGGCGUGCUUAACACAUGCAAGUCGAACGGGAAUUACUUUAUUGAAACUUCGGUCGAUUUAAUUUAAUUCUAGUGGCGGACGGGUGAGUAACGCGUGGGUAACCUGCCUUAUACAGGGGGAUAACAGUCAGAAAUGACUGCUAAUACCGCAUAAGCGCACAGAGCUGCAUGGCUCAGUGUGAAAAACUCCGGUGGUAUAAGAUGGACCCGCGUUGGAUUAGCUAGUUGGUGAGGUAACGGCCCACCAAGGCGACGAUCCAUAGCCGGCCUGAGAGGGUGAACGGCCACAUUGGGACUGAGACACGGCCCAGACUCCUACGGGAGGCAGCAGUGGGGAAUAUUGCACAAUGGGGGAAACCCUGAUGCAGCGACGCCGCGUGAAGGAAGAAGUAUCUCGGUAUGUAAACUUCUAUCAGCAGGGAAGAAAA
rnacentral:rRNA from 1 species